AUAAAUUAUUAUGGUCAAUGUUACAAAUGCAGUUUCAGGGUAAAGUGGUGGUCAUAUUUUAAAUAUUAUUUAUUGGCAAGUUUCUAUUUUAAACACAAAGUGUUCAUUAAACAUAAUUUAACCCACAUGAAUUAUAUUAAUUUUUUGGGUGACAUAGUAUUGGUCACAUGCUUUGCUGUUUAAUUUAGUCACAAUGUUGGUGUUAUUUAAGGUGCUUAUAUUCUAUAGUCUACAUUUUAAAAACUGAAAUAUUGUAAUCAAUAGUUAAUUAAAAUACAAUAAUCAGCAAUACAAUUUUUGAUAUUUUUGGAUGACUGAGAGAAGCUUUUAGUAUUACACUAAUUUUGACAUGAAGACUACAGUGUCAGGGUAUAAAUAUAUUGCAACAAUUGUUUUUUUUUUGUGUAUUUUUAAUGAAUGAUGCUUGCCUAUAAUAAAGUGUUAUGGCAUAUAUAUACUAUUGUUAAAUGAUGUGCUAAUUUUGCCAAUAUUUAUUAAUUUACUAUAUAAUAGUCAUCGCCCGCAUUAUUGUAUAAACAUAACUUGUCACAUGCUUAGAAAAUGUUAUUAAUUGUUUAAUUUCGGCAUGUAUGGAUCAGACAUGGGCACCCAUAUCCAUUUUAUCCGUUCUUCACUUAAUAAGAUGUGAACAGUAUCUAAUAUCUGUGUCAAAGGUCAAGGUCAUCUGCUAGUCUUGUGGUGUUCAGUACCCUUGUUUUUUGUUAACAAAGACAGCUUCACAGGGGUCUGCUCUGCAGAAAUAGCUUAGGAUCAUGCAUUACCUUCUAAUUGUGUAUCUAAUUUAUUACUACCUUGAAAUGUCAUGAAUUUUGUAUAUACAUGUAUAGAGAAUUUAUUUUCAAGUAAUUAGUAAAUGAAAAUGUUUGUGAUACAUGAAAAGAUGGC
rnacentral:lncRNA from 1 species